GACGAACGCUGGCGGCGUGCCUAACACAUGCAAGUCGAACGGAAAGGCGCUGCUUUUGUGGGGUGCUCGAGUGGCGAACGGGUGAGUAACACGUGAGUAACCUGCCCCUGACUUUGGGAUAACUUCAGGAAACUGGGGCUAAUACCGGAUAGGAGCUCCUGCUGCAUGGUGGGGGUUGGAAAGUUUCGGCGGUUGGGGCUGGACUCGCGGCUUAUCGGCUUGUUAGUGGGGUAGUGGCUUACCAAGGCUUUGACGGGUAGCCGGCCUGAGAGGGUGACCGGCGACAUUGGGACUGAGGUACGGCCCAGACUGGUACGGGAGGCAGCGGGGGGAAAUAUUGCACAAUGGGCGGAAGCCUGAUGCAGCAGCGCCGCGUGCGGGAAGACGGCCUUCGGGUGGUAAACCGCGUUCGCCUGUGACGAAGCGUGAGUGACGGUAAUGGGUAAAGAAGCACCGGCUAACUACGUG
rnacentral:rRNA from 1 species